rnacentral:rRNA from 1 species
AAAUAUAAAGAGUCGAACCUGCCCGGUGAUAUAUUUAACGGCCGCGGUACUCUGACCGUGCAAAGGUAGCAUAAUCAUUUGCCUUAUAAUUGAAGGCUUGUAUGAACGGUUUGACGAAAACAAAGCUGUCUCUUUUUAAUUUUAUAAAACUUGAUUUUUAGGUGAAGAAGCCUAAAUAAAAUUGAAAGACAAGAAGACCCUAUCGAGCUUUAAAAAUUUUUAUUAACACAUAAUAACUAAAACAGAUUAACUAUAAUAGAAAAUUUUAGUUGGGGCGACUAAGGAACAUAAAAGCUUCCUUUUAAAACUUUAAAGCAAAUUAGCUGUGAUCCAAAAUUUUUGAUUAAAAGAAUUAGUUACCGUAGGGAUAACAGCAUAAUCUUUUUUGAGAGUUCCUAUCGAAAAAAAGGUUUGUGACCUCGAUGUUGGACUAGAAUAUCCUAAAUGAUGCAGAAGUCUUUAAGGGUUGGUCUGUUCGACC